UACGGAGGAUCCAAGCGUUAUCCGGAUUUAUUGGGCGUAAAGCGCGCGCAGGCGGAUCUGUGCGUCCCGCGUGAAAUCGCCCGGCUCAACCGGGCGGGGUCGCGGGAUACGGCGGAUCGGAGCAAGGGAGGGGGCAGUGGAAUUCCCGGUGGUAGUGGUGGAAUGCGUAGAGAGUCGGGAGGAACAUCCGUGGCGAAGGCGACUACCUGGACCAGCACUGACACUGAGGCACGAAAGCGUGGGGAGCAAACAGG
rnacentral:rRNA from 1 species